rnacentral:rRNA from 1 species
UACGAAGGGGGCUAGCGUUGCUCGGAAUCACUGGGCGUAAAGGGCGCGUAGGCGGCCAUUCAAGUCAGAGGUGAAAGCCCAAGGCUCAACCUUGGAACUGCCUUUGAUACUGUUUGGCUUGAGACCGGUAGAGGUAAGUGGAACUGCGAGUGUAGAGGUGAAAUUCGUAGAUAUUCGCAAGAACACCAGUGGCGAAGGCGGCUUACUGGACCGGUUCUGACGCUGAGGCGCGAAAGCGUGGGGAGCAAACGGG